ACAACUCGCCGGGGCUGGCGGCGGCGCCAUUUUGAAUUGGCUGAGGGUCGGAGGCGGCGGCUGCUGAGCAGGGUUCCGCGUCCCCCGAGGGAGAACCCGCGAGGAAGGAGCGGAUAUGGCCGCGAAUAGGAACUUGAAGCAAGUGCGGAUCGAAAACAGCUCCCCGGCGGUGCCGCUGGGCAUGGUGGGGGGCGGCGGCAACCUGAAAGGAUUGCGCGGCCUAGAAGCGGAGAGUGAGGCGGCGGCGGCGGCCAUGGCUCUGGUGCCGAGCAAAGAAGGUGGCGGAGAUGAGGAGCAGGAGGUUGGGUUCACCAUCGAUAUCAAGAGCUUUCUCAAACCUGGCGAGAAGAGCUACACGCAGCGUUGCCGGCUGUUCGUGGGGAAUCUGCCUACUGAUAUCACCGAGGAGGAUUUCAAGCGCCUUUUCGAGCGCUACGGGGAGCCCAGCGAGGUCUUCAUCAAUCGGGACCGUGGCUUCGGCUUCAUCCGCCUGGAAUCUAGGACCUUGGCUGAAAUAGCGAAGGCAGAACUUGAUGGUACUAUUUUGAAGAGCAGACCACUUCGAAUUCGAUUUGCUACCCAUGGAGCUGCCUUAACUGUGAAGAAUCUGUCGCCUGUGGUUUCUAAUGAGCUGCUGGAACAAGCAUUCUCGCAAUUCGGGCCAGUGGAAAGAGCGGUUGUUGUAGUAGAUGAUCGCGGCAGAGCUACAGGGAAAGGUUUUGUAGAGUUUGCAGCAAAACCUCCAGCACGGAAAGCUCUAGAAAGAUGCAAUGAUGGGGCAUUCUUGCUUACUACAACACCUCGACCUGUUGUUGUAGAACCAAUGGAGCAAUUUGAUGAUGAGGAUGGACUCCCUGAGAAGCUAAUGCAAAAAACACAACAGUACCACAAGGAAAGAGAACAGCCUCCACGUUUUGCUCAGCCUGGAACAUUUGAGUUUGAGUAUGCGUCACGGUGGAAGGCUCUUGAUGAGAUGGAAAAGCAGCAGCGUGAACAGGUUGACAGGAACAUUAGAGAAGCCAAAGAGAAACUUGAGGCAGAAAUGGAAGCAGCUAGACAUGAGCAUCAGCUAAUGCUGAUGAGGCAAGAUCUCAUGCGUCGUCAGGAAGAAUUGAGGCGCUUGGAAGAACUUCGAAACCAAGAACUUCAAAAACGCAAGCAGAUACAGCUGAGACAUGAAGAAGAGCACAGACGUCGGGAAGAAGAGAUGCUACGCCAGAGGGAACAGGAGGAAUUACGACGACAGCAGGAGGGAGGAUUUAAGCCAAAUUUCAUGGACAAUGUUACUAUUAAAAUCUUUAAAAUGCAGAUGAAGACUGGCUUGUGCAGAAUCCUUCUGGUAUCUCAUGCAGACAAAAGAGAAUCCUAAACCAGGUUUUAGAACAAGGUACGUAUUAAGGUAUAUGGCUUUAUCCAGCAGUUACUGAAAUCAGUCCCCUGCUUUUUGUUCAGAUUUGUGAUUUGAUGUAGUUGUUCUUCUACACUUCAAGUAAUACUUGAUUUCAGAUAAUGUAAUUCCUGGCAUAAUUCCUGCCAUGUAUUAUGUUUUUAAAGGACUUCAGGCAUAUGCACACAGCCUCUAGCAGUCUGGCCAGCCAUCCAAACCCCACAGUGCCACAUUAAUAUGAUGCCAUGUCUGAGCUGCUGGAUGUUACUGAUACAUUGCACUCAGACUCCUGAUCGUUUAUACAACCAACACAGUAGUUACUGAUUCUGAACAGUCUUUGGCAUUAAUCAGAGGGCUCUGGUCUGGAAGGUGGUGUCCAUGCACUCUGGGAAGCCUGGGGCACAGUUUGUGUGCACACAGGUGUGUAUUGCCAUCUGCCCUGACUGUGGACAGCAUCUCAAUGGGGCUGACAGAUAGCAAGGUUUUAAAGAGAGUUCUAUGUGGCUAAGUUGAAUAGAUCUGGUAGUUCCAAAAUUCCAAUAUACCAGUUAUUUUUAUAAAGUAAAAGUAAAUUUAAACACUAGUGGGAUUUGAUCAAGAUGUGCAGGUUCUACUGGUAAAGCAAGAGAAACUUGUGUUAAUUCUUCUGUGUUUGUUUGGCUUAGCAAAAGGACUCAGAGCUGUCUCUGUAGUUGUGUUAACAGUAAAUAAAAGAACUGGGAAUAUAAAGGACCAGAACAAUUUAUCUGUUUUAUAAUCACAUGUAAAAGGUGUCCCUGUCCAUGGCAGGGGUUCAGACCAGAUGAUCAUCUCUCUCCAUGUGCUGGAAACUUUCUUUGUAAAGCAGGAUGCCAUUUGGAUGCCUUUGUGGCCAGGUUGUACUCUUUGCUCAGGGUGGUUCUUGGACCUGGUGUUCACCAGGGCCACUGUGUCCUUACCUGCAAAGGGGCACUCCAGCCAGCUGGCCUCCAGCCAGUCCUGGUGUCUGGGAUUAUUUCUCCCCAGAAGCAGGAUUUGGCAUUUCCUUGUGUUGAAUUUCAUGAGAUCUUGUAAGCCCAUUUCUCCAGCCUGUCAAGGGAUCACUGGAUGGUGGCAUGACUCAAUGGCCUUAGCAGCCACUCCUCUCAGCUUUGUGUCACCUGCAGACUUGCUGAGGACAUGUUGUCCCAUCAACCAGGGCAGAAAUGAACAUCCUGAAAAGGACUGGCCUCAGUACAGGGAUACUCUGCUAUUCACUCAUGUCCAAGAGGACUUCAUGCCACCGACAACCUUCUAAGCCUAUCUCUUCAGCCAGUUUUUAGUCCACCUCGUGGUCCACUGAGCCUAUCAGUAGUCUGUUAGUAUCAUGAUAGGAUCAAAAUGAUAAUUGGAGAUACUAUGGUAGCGUCAAAAGAUUUCCUAAGCCAAGGCAGACAAUAUCCACUGCUCUCCCCGCGUCCACUGAACUGGUCAUGUCACCAGAGAGGCUCUCCAGUUGGGAUCCUUAAGAAUUUGCAAAUGACCUCGUUGUAAAUCCAUGCUGAGUGCUGCCACUUACCUUCUUGCCCUUCUUGGUCUGGAAAUGUUUUUUUUGGAGUAGUUGUUCCAUCACCUUCUGAGGGCCUCUAGUUCCCUGGGUCCUCUUUCCUGCCAUUCUUGAAGACUGGAGUGACUUCUGCUUUCCCCUGAUGCUUGCACACCUCUCCUAGUUGCCACAUUCUGUCAGCAAUGCAGGGUGGCCUUGCAAGGCCAGCAGCAACUCCUUCAGCACUCAUGGGAGUCCCUUGCAAGCUCAGCACGUGUGACUUGUCCAGUUUGUGUUCUCUAAGCUGGACCCUGUCAUGUUCUUGGUACUGGGAAGGGCACUGACAAGGUGGGAAAGUUGUUGCACACCUCUUUUUGUGGUUCUGCUUUUGCCCUUUACUAAGGAGUCCCAUUAUUUUCUAGUUGUAGUAAAAUCACAGUAUAAAAAUUAUCACACAACAAUUCGCAAUAUAAACCAGACUACUGAAAUAAGCAAGCUACAAGCAUUUACUCACAAAAUCUAAAAAAGACAAGCAGCUAAAGCUCUUUGUCAGAAAAGUAGAAGUAAAACAGAAAAUGCCUAAUUUUUUCAGAGUUUGAUUCAAAUGUUUUUGGUUGGUUUUUUUUAUGCAGAGGAUGUUUUGUCUUGACCAUGUAGCCAUUGGAAUUCAGUCUUGUUUGUCACUACAUAUGAGAGUGCUGCUGUGCACAAGAGCCAUUUGGGAACCUCAGUGUUUGGCAGGUUUCCCAGGCAUCUCAGAAUUUUUCUGUCAGCUUAGUUUCCUUCCUGUGAAGGGAAAAAAGGGUGGUCAAGGUUCCUUGGAGAUACAAGUGUUCCUUUUACUGGCUAAAUAACAACUCCUUGUCUCAAUGAAGUGAUAAGAGCCUUUCUUCCUCUUCCCCCAUUCCUCACAUGUGUGUGGGCCUCAGAUUGCAGUGUGAACCUGGCUGACCAAGUAUAAUGGCCUAAUGAAUUUGUGUUAAGUUUAUGCCAGGCUGCCUGCUCCUGGGCUUCCUGAACAGAGGGAGCUCCAGCUGCCUCGGUGGGGGCAGGGAUGUCUGAAAAAUUGCUGGCAUUUGUCAGCUCUUUAUCCAACUGUAUUUGCUGUAGGGGGAUAGAAUAUAAGAAAAUAUAGAUAGUGUAGAAAAUAAUCUUACUCCUAAGGAGUUGCAGUUGGGCCAAUUAUCAAAGAUUAGGAACAGGCUUGACUUUAAGAGGCCACAGCUGUAACCAAUGAGAAAAAGAGUGCUAAAAAAGAGUGGGUUGGCUGAUUGAGAAGGGAACUAGACUCAGUUGGCCACUUUGUGAAGAAGAAAGAGUCAGUAUUCUGAGGAGAUACCCACGAGAAACACCAAGAAGGUAUGAAACUUUUGUCAUAAGGAGACAACAGUAUGGAACCCCUGCAAUAAGAUGACAUUUGCUGAUGCAUUGCUCUGUUAUUUGCCAUUUGAGUCUUAAGUGCUCUACUUUGAUGACAAAAGCACACUCUCAAGGAAGUUAUCACUGAAGUGUCUCUUGUAACUCCUCAGCCUGAAUUGUACUUCUUGGAAAUGUUUGUCUCUAUUGAAUGCAUUAGGUUUCAGUGGAAGCCAGUGGUGGCUGCCCACCCUCAGAACCGAGGCUGUUACAUUGUGAUAUGCAAAAUGCUGCUCUGCACCUUGGAGUUACAAGGACCAUCAGGGUGAGAAUAUAAUCGUGUUGUCACUUGUUAAAACUCCUGUUAUGGUACACUUUGUACUCAGUUUUCAGUUUGUUAGUAAUAUUUUUGUGCUUAAUGCAUGAAUGUUUUUUUUUUCCUUGUAUCUCAGUGCUCUUGGACACACAAAUGCUGUUAUCUAAUAAAAUAGUAACUGAAUCCAUCACACCUGGCUGAAGGUAGGAGAAGGACAAACUGAUCAUUCUCAGUUAAGCUGUUUUCUCUCUGCUUGCAGACAGGCUGGACCUAUGAGACCCGAGGGAAAAGGGCUGUUUGAAAUUACAAAAAAGGACAUGCACAGCCUGGAUGUGGUGUGCCCCCACCAAUACCUCAGCUUGGAAAAGACACAAGAAGAAUGUGAAUACAUCUGCUUGUGAGCUCCAGUCCUCUUCCUACAUGAGGAGACAAGUUACAGCUUUUGUGAUGUUACUAACUUCAGCCUCUGGCACAGAAGAUGGUGCCAGUCCCGCAUUUCAUAGCAGAGCUGAUGUUGGCCUACUUUGAUGUGUAACUGAGCAAUGCAGUGGACAUGAAUUGAAGACUUGACUGGAACCUCAUGCAGUUAAAUCCUGCAGUGGGAACUGAACUAAGCUGAUGCAGUUGUAGAUCCUGGUGGCGAAGUAGCUUUGCAGAGGCUGAUGUGGGGUCCUGAGGGACAAGUGAAGAUGAAGGUGUCCACCCCCAUGCUGGGCUCCAUAAGAAGAUCAUGGCUGAGCAGGGGCCAGAAGAGCAAUCUCUUUGUUCAGCACUUCUGAGACUGCAGCUGAAACACUGUGCCCAGUUCUGGGCUCUUGAAGACAAGAUGAUGUGGACAAACCCCAUGGAAGCCAUUGGCCAGUCAGAAGGGCUGUGGAACACAGCAGCCACAGGGCCAGGCAGCAGGGGUUUUUCAAGCUGGAGAGCAGGAGGUAGGGGUGGUUAAGAGAUCCUGUUAAUCUGGCUGUGUAAGAGAAGGGUGUCGAGAAGAUGAAGCCAGGCUCACGGCAGUGGCGCACAGUAUGGUGACAGUUUUGUUCCAUUGUUUCUGUGCACGGAAGUGGUGUACCAUAGCACUAAUAAAAACCGUGCAAGGCACAGUGUGGCUGUACUUACCUGGACUCCCUGCACUGUGGAACCAUUGGGGGCUUCCUGGUAAUCAUUUGGUUUCAGGAAGGGUGGAUGCAGGGGACGUGGUCUGGAGGUUCACUUGUGGUUUUAGGGAUCUUAACCCUGCUAUUCACUGAAAGAAUUACUCUGAUAUUGACACAGCAGAGCUGACAGAUCUGUAAAGGUGAGGAAACAUCCAAAGCUUUCAGGUCUCCUGUGCAAGCAUACGGGUUGUCUCAUGCAACCUUGUAAAGCCUUUUUGAGAAAAACUCUGUCAGCACAACCUUCACAGGUGGGAGGGGCUGGGACAGCACCUUCCCCCCUCCCCCACUGGAGGGCUGUAUUCAGUGUAGGACAUGCAGCUGCUCUAACAGGCCUAACAGGGCUUUCUUCCCAAAUUCACCAAACUUUUCUUGGCUAGGGAAAGUCCAUACAAGUACCAGCUACAGGGUGGAAGACUUCUCAUCAGGAAGUGGGAGUCUGUGCUACAGACUGAGAUGUCACCACAUAGGUAACCCUGUCCCCUCAAGCUCUGGUGGCCCAUGCCCACACAGUUGCAGUGAAUCCAGUUUUGGAACAGGCCCUCAUCUCCCUGGGUAUGUGACAAUGUCUUCAGUUCCCAUACACAUGGUCUGGGUUUCUCAGCAGCAGAACUGUGCCUUCCCUUAAGAGCAAGAGGCACAGCAGCAGAGGGAGACAAUGGGAAAGUCUGACCCCUCCACUGUAACUGCAUCAGUGCCACCAGUAACUGAUCAGAGGAGUUCCUUACACUUCAGAUCAUGCAGGAAAUAUUACAGAGAUUCUGGAAAAAGAUUCAUUUGUCGUUACCACGCAUGACUGGUUUGCUGUGGAAAAACAGGUGACCUGAAGUUAGAAAGAACCAUCUUCUGCCUGGUUCCUUCCUGCUGACUGCUAUACUUGAGGUAUCUGAGCUUUGAGAAACCCUUUUAAAGCUUAAUUUUUCCUGCUGCCUUAGUUCUGCUCAAAUUUCUAGUGUGUGGUGUCUUUUUCAGGUAUUUUUUCCAAACUUGUCUUUGUCCCUCACUCAAACAUUUUGAGCCAUGUUCAGAAGGUGAAAAGUACACACCUUUCUUAAAUUCAGACUGAUCAAAACCCAUUUUGUUUUUGCAAAUGGGUGCAGAAAGCACAGAAGGCCUGUGACAUGGUCAGCUGCAUCACCCACCGACCUUCGGCAGUGGUGAAAGAAGCCAGAACAGCAGUACUGGUGCUGGAACAGCAAAGGUAAAAACCCUGAGCCUUCAGACCCAUCUGCUUCCACUGCAGUUCGUGGGAAUUGCAGCUGCAGCCCUUGCUGGUGGCAGCAAGAAGAAACUGAGCAAGUACUUCACAGGUAUUUCUCCACAGUGCCUAAAUAAUUGUUUUUUAUUGUAGCUGCUUUCUCUUCAUCCUUUGUCCACCAAAACCUUUUUCAGCAAUCGGACAAAACCCAUACAAUAAAAACCAACAAAACCCAGCUUCAAAGAGCUUUUCAUACACUUCUUACGCAUUUUCAAUAGGGAUUCUGAAUUUUUACUGCCAACUAAAAGAGAAAGAUGGCUGCAAAAUAUUCAUCCCUAAUAAAAGCAUCAUGAAACCCAGAUUUCAUUCCCAUGUUCUGUAGAACUCCUCCAUCUCUCCCAAGUUCCUCAAGAUAAAAAACAAAACAACUCCCCAAAUCAACAGCCUUUGACAAACUACUUGCUCUAUCAACUCUUGGAGCAUUACUAGACAUUUUUAGGUUAGACUGUACAACAGUUUCUAAAUAGCAUAUCUAUCAUUUGGACAUUUGUUCAAAACACCUUUUAUCCCCGCCUGGAGCAGCUCCAGCAUUUCCCACUGGCAGGUGCUGUACAGAGCUUGUGCCACACACACUGUGCUGCCACACGUCCUGCAGGAGUGACUGCGAUGGGCAGCCAUGCAGAUGAAGCCUGGCACUCCAGUAUAAGGAAACACAAGUGUCCUCUUUCCUUAUGCAUCAUCCAGGCUUAUGCACAGGGACUAAAAUUUCAGCUACACAAAGUCCCAAGUGUUGGCAGUGACAUACCUGAUUCUCAGCCAGUGCUUUUCAUGCAUCUCAGGUGUUCACACUUAGCAAAGUGAGGUAUCUAACAUAUUUCAGAGAGCUGGAGGUAUAAAAUCUGUUCAAAACCCAAAUUUGUUAAGAUUUCAUCAAUACUGUGCAAAAACAUAAGCAACUAUUCUAAAUCAAAACAGAAACGAGUAUUUCUAUGUCAUGCUGCUGUUCUAGUUUUAUAUAGCUUAAUGUGACAUUCCACAAAAAUUGUGUCCUUUGUUACUCAUUUGGCAUCUCUUAAAUAUGAAAGAUUUAAAACUUCAAGAAUCAAAAAUUAAAAACCAGUUAACUGAAAUUUAUAUUAAAAAAUCACAGUUCUUAAAAGGAUACUUCAUACAGCUGCACCAUUUUGAUGGUGAGCAGUCAAAAUCAUCAAGAAUUUAUGCACAAGUUUUGCUAAUAAUAUAGGCACAUAGUGGCAUGUAACUACACGUGACAACUAGAACAGCAAAGGCACGAUCUGGUUUGGUUUUUCCUACCUUUCAAGAUGUUGGUUAAUUUACAAAGAAAGAUAUUCUAUACUCCAUGCAGAAGUAUUACAUUUAUAUUUUACAGCACAGGACCAUUACAAAACUGCUGUCAUCUGAUAAAACGGGUCAUUUAAAUAAAAUAAUAUAAUAAUAAGAUAAAAAGAUAGCAGCUUUUUGCACUGAGGAACUGAAUUUCCGAAGUAAAGGACAACAAGUGUUCUGUCAUCUGUUAGGCUGAGGACAUCUGAAAUUCUCUAUGUAUCUUCUUGUCUACAAAAAGCACUGCCCGGACACUGAAGGUAGCUACAAGUUUUCUGAUUUGCUGUUUUCACCUUGUAUUUAUUUUUCCAGAUGUCACCUGAGACCUCAAAAGUUAAGAUGUCUGUAAAACUAUCAGUUGCUUCUCUAAUACCAAA